UUCUGUCCACAGCGUGUCGCUGUUGCAGUUCUAAUCCUAAUCGUCUCGGCAUGAAGCGCCGUUAAAACCGGGAGGGGCGGGAACCAUUUAGAAAAGCUGAUUGGUCGCGCCUCCCACUAGCCCGGUCAAUCUCGCAUUUUGAUUGGUUCGUGAAGGCGUAGUUACUGGGCGUGUAAUGCCUGCCCUCCCCUUUUUUCUUUCACCAAAGAGGAGGAUGAACAGUUCGUCGUUCUAUUCGCACGGCAGCCUGGAGCUCAAGGAUGUUCUGGAUUUCAGCUUCUUUCUUCAACUCAAAUUUCAGGACAUGUGGCUCAGUGUUCGUCUAGGAUAAAAGAGUCCAAACAGAUCCAGUGGAAAUGUGACGUCUCCACCAAAUUUCCUCUGUCCUGAGCCCUGUCGGCUGUGAGUGGAGUGACUAAUGUGGACUGGCCGCCUGAUCUGGAUUAGUGCUGAAUGUGAGAACACAGAUCCACAGCCCCAAGCACACAGGAAAUACUCCAGAGCUGCGUCAGCAAAACUGGACAGGAAACAGCGUGACUACAAGAAGGCCUGGUGGCAUCUCUUAACAUCUUUUUUAACACCAUGCUUCCUCUCUUUGACCCUGUUAAAAUGUCAGUUUAAUUUGGGAGGUUCCUCCCACAAAACCAUCAGCAGUGAAGAACCACAAGAAUAGAGUAUUAAUUUGUCAUUUGUUUACUGAAAAUGAGUAUUAAAUAAAAGAGAAGCAACAACAUGA